rnacentral:rRNA from 1 species
UGGGGAAUAUUGCGCAAUGGGGGCAACCCUGACGCAGCCAUGCCGCGUGAAUGAAGAAGGCCUUCGGGUUGUAAAGUUCUUUCGGUGACGAGGAAGGCGUGAUGUUUAAUAGGCAUCACGAUUGACGUUAAUCACAGAAGAAGCACCGGCUAACUCCGUGCCAGCAGCCGCGGUGAUACGGAGGGUGCGAGCGUUAAUCGGAAUAACUGGGCGUAAAGGGCACGCAGGCGGCUAUUUAAGUGAGGUGUGAAAUCCCCGGGCUUAACCUGGGAAUUGCAUUUCAGACUGGGUAGCUAGAGUACUUUAGGGAGGGGUAGAAUUCCACGUGUAGCGGUGAAAUGCGUAGAGAUGUGGAGGAAUACCGAAGGCGAAGGCAGCCCCUUGGGAAUGUACUGACGCUCAUGUGCGAAAGCGUGGGGAGCAAACAGGAUUAGAUACCCUGGUAGUCCACGCUGUAAACGCUGUCGAUUUGGGGAUUGGGCCUUGAGCUUGGUGCCCGAAGCUAACGUGAUAAAUCGACCGCCUGGGGAGUACGGCCGCAAGGUUA